AUGACAGAAGACUAUCGACUAAACCACAUGUCCCCUCAUGCAGUUGAGCAGAUGGCUUUGUUAGAUAUAAAAAGUAUGCUUGAAUCGAUGGGGAAGGACAUAUCAUCAUUCCCUCUUCCAGAAAUUGAUGAGUCGUAUGAUGGCUCAAAUAACGAGGCUAGGGAGAUCACAGAGGAGUCGACGAUAGGGGUGAACCCAGAACACCUUGGCUUUUCAUCUUUCCUAAACCCAGAACAGAGAUAUGCAUAUGAUGAGAUACUUGCAACAAUCAAUAGUGGCCAAGGAGGUGUGUUCUUUGUUGAUGGACCAGAAGGCACUGGAAAGACUUAUCUAUACAAAGCACUACUUGCAAAAGUACGUGGUGAGGGUAAAAUAGCUAUUGCAACAGCGACAUCAGGCGUUGCUGCAUCCAUCUUGCCCGGCGGGAGGACUGCACACUCAAGGUUUAAAAUACCAUUGAACAUUGAAGAUGGUGGAGUUUGCAGCUUCACCAAGCAAAGUGGGACAGCUAAGCUUCUUAUGAGCGCCUCCCUCAUAAUUUGGGAUGAGGCCUCCAUGACAAGGAGACAGGCAGUCGAGGCCCUUGAUAAUAGCAUGAGGGACAUCAUGGCUCAACCUGACCUGCCAUUUGGCGGAAAGACUGUCGUGUUUGGGGGAGAUUUCAGACAAGUGCUUCCUGUUGUUCGCAAGGGAACAAGGUCACAAAUAAUUGACGCGACGCUACGCAAGUCUUACCUUUGGGAGAGUAUGAGACAUAUAAGACUUGUCCGUAAUAUGAGGGCUCAAAGUGAUCCAUGGUUUGCUGAUUAUCUUCUGCGUGUUGGGAAUGGCACCGAAGAUACUAUGGAUGAUGGUUACAUACGAUUCCCAGAUGAGAUUUGUGUACCAUAUACCGGCGUUGCCUCUGAUAUUGACAAGCUUAUUGAAAGUGUUUUCCCGAUGACGCUAGAUGAAAACCUCUUGGAUCCAAACUACAUAACGUCCCGAGCAAUUCUAUCAACUCGGAAUGAGUAA
rnacentral:rRNA from 1 species